GAUGAACGCUAGCUACAGGCUUAACACAUGCAAGUCGAGGGACCGGCGUACGGGUGAGUAACGCGUAUCCAACCUUCCCAUUACUGUGGGAUAACCUGCCGAAAGGCAGACUAAUACCGCAUAGUAAUGGGUGGGGAUGCGUCUGAUUAGCUGGUUGGCGGGGUAACGGCCAACCAAGGCUACGAUCAGUAGGGGUUCUGAGAGGAAGUUCCCCCACAUUGGAACUGAGACCCGGUCCAAACCCCUACGCGACGCAGCAGUGAGGUAUAUUGGUCAAUGGACGGAAGUCUGAACCAGCCAAGUAGGGUGCAGGAGGACUGCCUAUGGGUUGUAAACUGCUUUUGUAUGGGGAUAGGUACCAUAUGAAUAAGGACCGGCUAAUUCCGUGCCAGCAGCCGCGGUAAUUC
rnacentral:rRNA from 1 species